rnacentral:tRNA from 1 species
GAGGGUAUGGCUCAGUGGCAGAGUGCGUGCCUAUUAAGCAUGAGGUCCUGGUUCAAUCCCCAGUACUGCCA